AGUGAACGCUGGCGGUAGGCCUAACACAUGCAAGUCGAACGGCAGCACAGGAGAGCUUGCUCUCUGGGUGGCGAGUGGCGGACGGGUGAGGAAUACAUCGGAAUCUACUUUUUCGUGGGGGAUAACGUAGGGAAACUUACGCUAAUACCGCAUACGACCUACGGGUGAAAGCAGGGGAUCUUCGGACCUUGCGCGAUUGAAUGAGCCGAUUUCGGAUUAGCUAGUUGGCGGGGUAAAGGCCCACUAAGGCGACGAUCCGUAGCUGGUCCGAGAGGAUGAUCAGCCACACUGGAACUGAGACACGGUCCAGACUCCUACGGGAGGCAGCAGUGGGGAAUAUUGGACAAUGGGCGCAAGCCUGAUCCAGCCAUACCGCGUGGGUGAAGAAGGCCUUCGGGUUGUAAAGCCCUUUUGUUGGGAAAGAAAUCCAGCUGGUUAAUACCCGGUUGGGAUGACGGUACCCAAAGAAUAAGCACCGGCUAACUUCGUGCCAGCAGCCGCCGUAA
rnacentral:rRNA from 1 species